rnacentral:rRNA from 1 species
AUUGAACGCUGGCGGCAUGCUUUACACAUGCAAGUCGAACGGUAACAGGUUAAGCUGACGAGUGGCGAACGGGUGAGUAAUGCAUCGGAACGUGCCCGGUCGUGGGGGAUAACGCAGCGAAAGCUGCGCUAAUACCGCAUACGAUCUGAGGAUGAAAGCGGGGGACCGUAAGGCCUCGCGCGAUCGGAGCGGCCGAUGUCAGAUUAGGUAGUUGGUGGGGUAAAGGCUCACCAAGACAACGAUCUGUAGCUGGUCUGAGAGGACGACCAGCCACACUGGGACUGAGAAACGGGCCAGACUCCUACGGGAGGAAGCAGUGGGGAAUUUUGGACAAUGGGCGAAAGCCUGAUCCAGCAAUGCCGCGUGCAGGAAGAAGGCCUUCGGGUUGUAAACUGCUUUUGUACGGAACGAAAAAGCCUUGGCUAAUACCCAGGGUCCAUGACGGUACCGUAAGAAUAAGCACCGGCUAACUACGUGCCAGCCGCCGCGGUAA